AUCGCUUCUCGGCCUUUUGGCUAAGAUCAAGUGUAGGAAAAUAGAAAAUUUCAUACGUAAGCAAAACAAUUUCUCCUAACCCUAUCUCACCAAAACAAAAACUUCUCACAUUUUUUCACAAGUAUUUCAAUUACGUGCCUCUAUUUAUCCUAGAGCUCUCUUGCAAAACAGGAACAGAUCCAAACUGAGAAAGAAUUGCUUUUCAGUUUUAGUGCAGUUGACGUUUA
rnacentral:snRNA from 1 species